UGAUGAAGGAGGUUAUUCCAUGUUCCUGAUGAAGGAGGUUAUUCCAUGUUCCUGAUGAAGGAGGUUAUUCCAUGUUCCUGAUGAAGGAGGUUAUUCCAUGUUCCUGAUGAAGGAGGUUAUUCCAUGUUCCUGAUAAAUUAGGUUAUUCCAUGUUCUUGAUGAAUGAGGUUAUUCCAUGUUCCUGAUAAAUGAGGUUAUUCCAUGUUCCUGAUAAAUGAGGUUAUUCCAUGUUCCUGAUAAAUGAGGUUAUUCCAUGUUCCUGAUAAAUGAGGUUAUUCCAUUUUCCUGAUAAAUGAGGUUAUUCAGUGUUCCUGAUAAAUUAGGUUAUUCCAUGUUCCUGAUAAAUGAGAUUAUUCCAUUUCCUGACAAAUUAGGUUAUUCUACGUUCCUGAUAAAUGAGGUUAUUCUAUGUUCCUGAUAAAUGAGAUUAUUCAAUUUCCUGACAAAUUAGGUUAUUCUACGUUCCUGAUAAAGGAGGUUAUUCCACGUUCCUGAUAAAUGAGGUUAUUCUAUGUUCCUGAUAAAGGAGAAUAUUCUGUUUUCCUCAUAAAUGCGGUUAUUCUGUUUUCCUGUUAAAUUAGGUUAUACCAUGUUCCUGAUAAAUUAGGUUAUUCCACGUUCCUGUUAAUGAGAUUAUUCCAUGUUCCUGAUAAAUUCGAUUAUUCUGUGUUCCUGAUAAGUGAGGCUAUUCCAUGUUCCUGAUAAAUGAAGUUACUCCAUUUCCUGAUAAAUGAGGUUAUUCAGUCUUCCUGAUAAAUGAGGUUGCAAUUCGACAUGAUUGAUCAGUUGCGUGAACUUGCUUCUUUCUUUAAUGAGAAAUGGAGAAUAGUUUUGCAAAAGCUGAAACAUACUAAAUUAAUAUAGACCUAUUCAAUUGUGAUAUAUAUAUUGAUAUGCGAUUCAUAACACCUUAAAUCAUGAUAUUGAAUAUAGCCUAGUAUGUAGCCUAGACGGUGUAGCAG
rnacentral:lncRNA from 1 species